UCCGGUUUGUCACCGGCAGUCUCGCGUGAGUCCCCAACUUAAUGCUGGCAACACGCGACAAGGGUUGCGCUCGUUGCGGGACUUAACCCAACAUCUCACGACACGAGCUGACGACAGCCAUGCAGCAUCUGUGGUGCACCCUCGAAGGUCACACGUUUCCGUGCGCUUGCAGCACCAUGUCAAGCCCAGGUAAGGUGGGGAUGACGUACCAAGGUUGGUU
rnacentral:misc_RNA from 1 species